UACGUAGGUGGCAAGCGUUGUCCGGAAUUAUUGGGCGUAAAGCGCGCGCAGGCGGUCCUUUAAGUCUGAUGUGAAAGCCCACGGCUCAACCGUGGAGGGUCAUUGGAAACUGGGGGACUUGAGUGCAGAGGAGGAAAGCGGAAUUCCACGUGUAGCGGUGAAAUGCGUAGAGAUGUGGAGGAACACCAGUGGCGAAGGCGGCUUUCUGGUCUGUAACUGACGCUGAGGCGCGAAAGCGUGGGGAGCAAACAGG
rnacentral:rRNA from 1 species